rnacentral:rRNA from 1 species
CAUGAAAGAAGUUUAAAAGGACGGCGUAAGCUGUCGCUAAAAGGGGAUGGACCUGCGAUGCAUUAGCUAGUUGGUAAGGUAACAGCUUACCAAGGCGAUGAUGCAUAGCCCGAGUUGAGAGACUGAUCGGCCACAUUGGGACUGAGACACGGCCCAAACUCCUACGGGAGGCAGCAGUAGGGAAUCUUCCACAAUGGACGCAAGUCUGAUGGAGCAACGCCGCGUGAGUGAAGAAGGUUUUCGGAUCGUAAAGCUCUGUUGUUGGUGAAGAAGGAUAGAGGUAGUAACUGGCCUUUAUUUGACGGUAAUCAACCAGAAAGUCACGGCUAACUACGUGCCAGCAGCCGCGGUAAU